CAGUCGCCACGGGAACACGGAGGGUGCAAGCGUUAAUCGGAAUUACUGGGCGUAAAGCGCACGCAGGCGGUCUGACAAGUCAGAUGUGAAAUCCCCGGGCUUAACCUGGGAACUGCAUUUGAAACUGUCAGGCUGGAGUCUUGUAGAGGGGGGUAGAAUUCCAGGUGUAGCGGUGAAAUGCGUAGAGAUCUGGAGGAAUACCGGUGGCGAAGGCGGCCCCCUGGACAAAGACUGACGCUCAGGUGUGAAAGCGUGGGGAGCAAACAGGAUUAGAUACCCCUGUAGUCCCUGUCUCUUAUAC
rnacentral:rRNA from 1 species